GAUACAAGAUGGAUAACUAAACUCAGCGAUUCUCCAGCUGUUUCUCUGGGACCACAUAGGAUAGGUCCGGUCUCCUAGGAGGCAGUCAGGCAACUGAUGACUAUAUAGGCCUUAAGUUAGGAAUUCUUAAAGCCUGGACAGGAAAUCAUCCGGAGUUUGCUGACUCCAAAAGUGCAGAAGAUAGAAGAGGGUUGUGGUCUCAACCUCGGCUUGUAAAUUUGCUGACGCAUAAUCAGGAGGAACAUUAGAUCUCACUUCUUCCAAUCCCAGGGACAGACAUGGCAAUGAUAAUAGAACGAAUUGUGAAUAAAUCUUUAAGAAAACAGAUUCUGUUUUAUAAUCAGCAUCAGAGAAGGAGGCCAGGCCAGGCGAUCUUGUACAAGACGAAGGAAAGGCUCCCAUUUCAUGAGUAAAGAUGUACCACUAGGAUAAUCUGCAGAUCUGCUAGACAAACCACAUUAUGCACUAUACAAUAUAAGGAAACUGCAAAUCAAGGCGUUUAUAGUUUAUUUCAUUUGUAUUUUUUAAACAAAACUCCUUAAUUUUAAUAUUAAAAAUUAAAUUUUUAAAAAUUUUUUACUUUACAAAGGCUUUAAAUGAUAAUUUCAAAUUAAAGCGCUCAGACUAUAGGAUGGCCAUUUUAGGUAAUUAUCAGAGUAACUUCAAGAUUUAACUUAAUCAAACUAAGCCUGAAAAUAACAAAACUAAGCUUAAAGGUUUAGUUUCGAGACUAUGGAUGGGUCAACCUACCUACCGAACAAUCCAGAGAUGAUUUCAAGGAUGUCCAGGAAGUAGAAGUCUUAAGCUACAAAAACUUCCAGAAGAUUUUCUGCGGAGAAGCAUUUUUCGGAAUGUCUUCAUUUACAACCCAAUAACCCAGUCUUUCAAUUUGUGCCCAUUUCUAACACCUGCUGUUACCUACAGUGUUACCUACAGUGUUACCUACAGUGUAAGCUACAGUGUGACCUACAUGUUACCAACAGUGUUACCUACAGUGUUACCUUCAGUGUUACCUACAGUGUUACCUACAGUGUUACCUACAGUGUUACCUACAGUGUUACCUGCAGUGUUACCUACAGUGUUACCUGCAGUGUUACCUACAGUGUUUCCUACAGUGUUACCUACAGUGUAACCAACAGUGUUACCUACAGUGAUACCUACAGUUUUACCUACUGUGUUACCUACAGUGUUACCUACAGUGUUACCUACAGUGUUACCUACAGUGUUACCUACAGUGUAACCUACAGUGUAACCCACAGUGAAACCUACAGUGAAACUUACAGUGAAACCUACAGUGUUACCUACUGUGUUACCUACAGUGUUACCUGCAGUGUUACCUACAGUGUUACCUUUAGUGUUACCUACAGUGUUAUUUACAGUGUUACCUGCAGUGUUUCCUAGAAUGUUACCUGCAGUGUUAUCUACAGUGUUACCUACAGUGCAACCUAUAGUGUAACCUACAGUGAAAACUACAGUGUUACAAGUGUUACUUACAGUGUAACCUACAGUGAAACAUGUGUUACCUACAGGUUUACCUACAGUGUUACCUAAAGUGUUACCUACAGUGUUACCUACAGUGUUACCUACAGUGUUACCUACAAAGGAUGAGACUGUAAUGACAAACUGGAACUUAAUUAUGAAAUCUGAGAUCUGGAAGUUUGUUUUGUCCUAAGUUUUUAGCCUUAUGUCCUAUUUGAUUUGGCUAAGAAAGGGUUAAAGUUUAAAGCUGAAGAGACCAAGAAUCUAAGAAAAGAGGCUGAUACAAUUCAGUCUAGUUGUCGCUGAAGUCUCAUCCUUUGUGGGUAACCCUGUAAUAAUAUUUUCUUUAAAUCUGUUUCAGCCUACACAGUCCUUGCGGCAUGACGAGAAGAUAUUCAUGUCAUUCAUGAAUGCUUCUGCCUUCUGUCUGACCGGACCCACCUGGACAUCUGUUGUCACUGCUUGCAUUCUCCUUCUCCUCUUCAGCGGCUCCAUGAUGAUGAAUUUUUACUGAGCUAGCUUAUUCAUAAUCCUAUGCUUAUUCAAUGAAGGUAACAAGCAGAGUGCCCGUAAUGCUGUGAAUACAAGCUUCCUCUAUGUCCUUCAGAUCUACUCCUACGUCAUCUUUAAGGAAAUCCAUCCACUCACUACUGAAUUGUAUCAGCCUCUUUUCUUAGAUUCUUGGUCUCUUAUAUAUAGAUGCGCUGUUCAGUCGAAACCUUAAGAACCAUUGAAAAACAAUUUUUUUCGCACAAACUAUACGAGAACUGAAAAUUGCGA